rnacentral:tmRNA from 1 species
GGGGGCGACCUGGUUUCGACGUGGGUUGCAAAGCCAUCGGAGCAUGCCGAGGUGCAGAUCUCCUCGUAAAUCCAACUGCAAACUAUUAGUUGCCAACGACGACAACUACGCCCUGGCGGCUUAAUCCCCGCCAGCCUCUCACCCGGUUCGUUCAUGGGCUGGGAUUCGGGGGGUCGAAACACAUGAACUCGCCCUGCAGUUUGCUCGUGCACUGUGGUGUUAAAACUUAGCGGGCUCGCCGGCUGCGACCCUGUCUGUUGGGGCGCAAACGGUCAAAUAAAAGACAGACUAAGCAUGUAGUCGCCGGUGUGUGGCGGACUUGCGGACGCGGGUUCGAUUCCCGCCGCCUCCACCA